rnacentral:tRNA from 1 species
GGGGGUGUAGCUCAGCUGGAUAGAGCAACGACCUUCUAAGUCGUGGGUCUUGGGUUCGAAUCCCAACUCUCCCG